rnacentral:rRNA from 1 species
GACGAACGCUGGCGGCGUGCUUAACACAUGCAAGUCGAACGGAAAGGCCCUUCGGGGUGCUCGAGUGGCGAACGGGUGAGUAACACGUGGGUGAUCUGCCCUGCACUUUGGGAUAAGCCUGGGAAACUGGGUCUAAUACCGAAUAGGAUCAUGGCCUUCAUGGGUUGUGGUGGGCAGCUUUUGCGGUGUGGGAUGGGCCCGCGGCCUAUCAGCUUGUUGGUGGGGUAAUGGCCUACCAAGGCGACGACGGGUAGCCGGCCUGAGAGGGUGUCCGGCCACACUGGGACUGAGAUACGGCCCAGACUCCUACGGGAGGCAGCAGUGGGGAAUAUUGCACAAUGGGCGCAAGCCUGAUGCAGCGACGCCGCGUGAGGGAUGACGGCCUUCGGGUUGUAAACCUCUUUCAACUACGACGAAGCGCAAGUGACGGUAGUAGUAGAAGAAGGACCGGCCAACUACGUGCCAGCAGCCGCGGUAACAC